rnacentral:ncRNA from 1 species
AUGGUUAAUCUUGCUAGUAGUCAUGCUUGUCUCAAAAAUUAGGCCAUGCAUGUGUAAGUAUAAACUUUUUUGUACUAUGAAACUAUGAAUGGCUCAUUAAAUCAAAAUAGUUUAUUUGAUGGGUACCUUACUACUCAGAUAACCAUAGUAAUUCUAGAGCUAAUACAUGAAAAGAGUCCCGAACUCUUGAAGGGACACUUCCUAGAUUCAAGGCUGAUGUAGACUUCUCUGUAUUCUUAGUGAUUCAUGGUAAAUCAUCAAAUUGUGUAGCCCUUGUGCCAACGAUGCUUCAAUCAAAUUUCUACUCUAUCAAAUUUCAAUGGUAGAAUAGAGGCCUACUAUGGUGGUGAUGGGUAAUGCAGAAUUAGGGUUUGAUUCUAGAGAGGGAGAUUGAGACAAGAUUACCAUAUCCAAUGAAGGUAGUAGGUAUGUAAAUUAUAUGGGGAGCUAGUAACAAUAAAUAAUAAUACUAAACUUUUAAAAUUGGAGCAGAACCUAAGUUUUAGGGCCUUGGGGCUUUGAACAAAGGGAUGGAGCCAAACUCCCAAGCAUGCAAU